ensembl:rRNA 5S_rRNA 5S ribosomal RNA
GUCUACGGCCAUACCACCCUGAACGCGCCCGAUCUCGUCUGAUCUUGGAAGCUAAGCAGGGUAGGGCCUGGUUAGUACUUGGAUGGGAGAAAUACAGACUUCUGGUUAUA